rnacentral:tRNA from 1 species
CGGUCGAGCUGGAUGUCGGUGAUCGCCUGAUUGGCACUCAGGCCCAUGUACUUGAGGGCCCGCACGAUCGAAUCGCGCCUGACCGG